CGGGGCGUAGCGCAGCCUGGUUAGCGCGGCAGUUUUGGGUACUGCAGGCCGUGGGUUCGAAUCCCACCGCCCCGACCA
rnacentral:tRNA from 1 species